rnacentral:tRNA from 1 species
GGCUCGAUAGCUUAGUUGGUAAAGCGCUCGUCUAGCAUACAAGAAAUCUGGGUUCAAAUCCCAGCCGAGCAC